rnacentral:sRNA from 1 species
GCUGGGCGUGGUGGCGCAUGCCUGUAAUUCCAGCUACAUGGGAGGCUGAGGCAGGAGAAUCGCUUGAACCUAGGAGGCGGAGGUUGUAGUGAGCCAAGAUUGCGCCACUGCACUCCAGCCUGGGUGACAGAGUGAGACUCUGUCUCUC